GACGAACGCUGGCGGCGUGCUUAACACAUGCAAGUCGAACGGAAAGGCCCUGCUUUUGUGGGGUGCUCGAGUGGCGAACGGGUGAGUAACACGUGAGUAACCUGCCCUUGACUUUGGGAUAACUUCAGGAAACUGGGGCUAAUACCGGAUAGGAGCUCCUGCUGCAUGGUGGGGGUUGGAAAGUUUCGGCGGUUGGGGAUGGACUCGCGGCUUAUCAGCUUGUUGGUGGGGUAGUGGCUUACCAAGGCUUUGACGGGUAGCCGGCCUGAGAGGGUGACCGGCAACAGGGGGACGGAGAGCGGCCCGAGCCGCGGAGGGGGGGCAGGGGGGGAAAUUAUGACAGAGGGGGGGAAGGCCGGUGGCAGACCCCCCGCGGGCGGGAGCAGGGCCUUGGGGUUGAAAACCAUUUUGGCAGGUAAGAAGCGGGGAUUGAGGGUAAGGAAUAAGAAAGCCCGGGCUACCUACGUG
rnacentral:rRNA from 1 species